UCUCUCACAAUUUACCUCUGGAUAUUUUCAUGAUGCUUCUCCUAUCUCUUUGUCUUGCAAAUCAUAUCCCUGGGAAUAUACUACUUGUUAAGUUAGGAUCACAAGUUAACUGGCCAUCAUCAGUGGAUAUUAGAACUCUGCUUUGGCUCCAGAAUAGUACCCCAGUUGUCUUUUCAUCAGCUGCCGUGCUUUCCAAGGUCUCUCCAAACAGGCCAACAAGAGGAUCAUCCCAAGAAACAGAGAUGUCUGGGCAGGAGAUAUCUGGACAUUGGCUUCCUCCUCAAAUGCUUCUGCAGUUUUCUUUUCUCGAGACCAAUUUCAUCAGCACCCGAGGCCAAUCAGCAAGACUUGCCCAAUAGUGAAUAUUAUGAGUUUUUGGGUAACGAUUGACCAAUCUCAGCAGCCCCAUAAAGCACUUUUUUUAUCCCAUCGGCACCCUUAAUGUCAAACAGCGGCAAGCUUAUCAAAAGCCAGCUCUCUGUUUUGUAAAAUAUGUUCUCCAACUGAAACAUUGCUCUAUGUUGGACAUGUUUUGCUUUAGCAACUCCCCUGUUGGCUAUAAUAAAGCUUCACACAGGUCCAUUCUUACUUUGACCUAGUUAACUAACUUCAUUUGGGAAAGCUUUGUAAAGUCGGUAAACAUGACAUUAGUAGUUAACGACCAACUACCUUUAAGGUUGGUGCUGUAAUGUGUACGAUUAGCUUUUAGAAGCCGGGGGCUUAUGAA